UUCCCCGGGUGGGUACACCACGGGCUUGAGUUCGCCCCGGGGAAGCGGGCGGCCCCAUUUGGUAGCACGUGAGGCGGGGAGAUCCCUGGCCUUUCCACGGCCCAUCCCCGGGAUAGAUCUCCCGAUGUCGAUAGGUCUGGGAGUAAACCCUCGACUGGCUCGCUCUCCCUGCGACCGGUGGCGACGGCCUCCGCCUCCAGCCUCCACCUCCGUUCGGUGCAUCUCCGUCCGACGACCGGAUAGCGCCGCCCCCCGCGCCCUCCCUCAAGAGAACCGCCUCCACAGUCCGUCCCUCCGGCAGCAGCGACGGCGACGGACCGGGCGUCAUCCAUCUCCCCUCUGCCUCAAAGCUUCUAUCACCUCCGGCGACGACGAUGGCCAAGAGGUCACCCUCCUUUCACCAAGAUCCAAGAAACUCCUCUUGCGUCUGAGAUUUGUAUCACAAGUAUAUGACAUGAGUAGGCCUUGCAUGAUCAAGAAAACCAAUGAUACAAAUUGCAUCUGUCGGUAAACUUUUGUCGAUGAACUU